UUUUUUUUUUUACUAUGUAUAACCUCCUCAUCAACAGACGUUUCCCGAAUAACCAUUCAUUUAAUGAAAAACCUGCGCUUGUUAGCAGCUGAAUCACUCUCUCCUCUCGUAGUGGGCCUCUUUUCUUUCCCCCGCUGGCAUGAGGUAAGGGCCCAUUCCACUAGCUCUUCUUCUUUUGAGAAGAAAAUAAAUAGAGGGGUGCGCUUUCCCUUUGAAUGAGUAGAUCUUCCCGCCCCCGAACUCGAAAAGUAAGCAUGGCAUCCAUCCUUAAGCUAGAUAACAGGAAGAAAAAGAGUGAUAACUCGGGGAGGCAUCAGCUUUACGUUCCCCAUACCAUAUCAUUACAUACGAAAUUCUUUCAUUUCUUUUUUUAUAUUACGAAAAUUUGAAAGAUGUUAUGGAGGGUUGUCAAUCCAUGCUACUGGGCAGAUCUUUCCACUUCCCAUUCCCUUCCUCGCUCAUCUCAGCGGCCGCCUCUCGAUCUAAAUGUGCCCCCAGCGGAAGAGAUUGAGCCUGACUCAGAAGAAGUGGAGCUACGUCGUCACAUGGAAGAACAUCUUUUUAGGCGCUUAAGGGACAAAUCCCCCCGGAACGAAUCCCGAUCUGCCUUUCCAGCAGGCACGGGAGACCGCUCAAUUGAAAAGGCAAAUGAUCGAACGUAUGAUGGAAUUAGAUCCCGAUCACUCGGAUUUUUGGCGAACGCACCAAUCUAAGCUAAUUACGGAUUGCCUUCUGACGAAUAGACAAAUAGAUUAUGCGCCGCGCCAGCUGCAACAAAUGCUUUUUCCGUUUCUGAGGCAGCAUCUCUAUCAGCUAGUCGCUACUAGAGUUUUUAAGGCGUUUGCGCAAUCGGCUUGUUGGUUGGUGGCUUUUGUAAUCUAAUGGCACUAAUGCCACU
rnacentral:misc_RNA from 1 species